AUGGAUUGCACCCGCGGUCAUGCAUGACUUAGCAUCUCGUUUGCUUCCCCCGCUAGCAGAGACGGUGGAACAACGGCAGGAUUUACACAGACACAGAAAGCUGAUAAAUCAUCUCUCUCAUCCUGUGUCACCCUUCUCCUACUUUGUGGUCCUAUUGAUGUCUGCUCUUCAGUAUCCCGGUCAUGGCGAAGGGUUGUAGUCCACGAACUGAGCCACACCUGGGCCCUUUGUUGUUUUUGAUAUGAAGCUCCUUACUCUUCCCUCUCGGGCACAGCUAUUUUCUUUUCUAUGCUGCAGACAUAUCCACACAUCCAUACAUGCUUACAUGACUGAUAAAUAUGUUCUUUCUGGUGAUCAUCAUUAUUUGU